rnacentral:tRNA from 1 species
GAGGGUAUAGCUCAACUGGUAGAGUGCAUGCUUAGCAUGCAGAGGUCCUGGGUUCAAUCCCCAGUACCUCCA